rnacentral:rRNA from 1 species
UGCAUAUCAAAAAAGCUGAGGAAAAGAAACCAACUGGGAUUACCUUAGUAACGGCGAGUGAAGCGGUAAAAGCUCAAAUUUGAAAUCUGGUACUUUCAGUGCCCGAGUUGUAAUUUGUAGAAUUUGUCUUUGAUUAGGUCCUUGUCUAUGUUCCUUGGAACAGGACGUCAUAGAGGGUGAGAAUCCCGUUUGGCGAGGAUACCUUUUCUCUGUAAGACUUUUUCGAAGAGUCGAGUUGUUUGGGAAUGCAGCUCAAAGUGGGUGGUAAAUUCCAUCUAAAGCUAAAUAUUGGCGAGAGACCGAUAGCGAACAAGUACAGUGAUGGAAAGAUGAAAAGAACUUUGAAAAGAGAGUGAAAAAGUACGUGAAAUUGUUGAAAGGGAAGGGCAUUUGAUCAGACAUGGUGUUUUUUGCAUGCACUCGCCUCUCGUGGGCUUGGGCCUCUCAAAAAUUUCACUGGGCCAACAUCAAUUCUGGCAGCAGGAUAAAUCAUUAAGAAUGUAGCUACUUCGGUAGUGUUAUAGCUUUUUGGAAUACUGUUAGCCGGGAUUGAGGACUGCGCUUCGGCAAGGAUGUUGGCAUAAUGGUUAAAUGCCGCCCGUCUUGAA